GAUCCCUGCAUACCUGAGGUCUUCCAAAGGGAUAGAAGUGCACAGUCAGUCUGAGUGCAUUAAGGAUUUAACACUUCAAUGGCCUUGAGGGCAAACCUUGCUACUUUGGACUCCACCCCAAGGCUAAGUGAUGAAGUAUGGAGUGGAGGGCAGUAUGAUUCCAACAGGGGUCAAAAUGAUGUCCUGGGAACCAAGAUUGAGAAAUUGUGAGUCAAAGAGACAAUGAUAUAUAGUCACCUAAAUCCACUCAAGUCACAAACCACCAUGAAUGCUGUGAAGUGCCUUGUUUCUGGCUUCCCCACAGCCCCUACCCCUACCUGUUCACUUCAGUGCAUAAGAGAAAAG
ensembl:lncRNA